rnacentral:lncRNA from 1 species
CAGGGAUUUGCACUUGAGCCCCAGAGGAUCCUGGUGGCUACGCCCUUACUCUUACCAUUGCCCUGGCACAGAUCCAUCCAAUCCAUCAGCAUCCGCUGCAGUACCAUGCUCAGGGCAUCUUGUCAAACACCUCAAAUGGGAUCAGUGCUUGCCAUAGCCAAGAGCACGACAUUUUAAGGCACAAUGUCCAAGGAAGAAAACUUGAG